ACAAAGACAUAUUAAAGAAAGGAAACAAAAUUGCAUAGAAUAAGUGAAGGAAUACAAUUUUUAAAUAGCAAGUAUUUAAAGACACUGAAAAUUGUGUUUAUCCUACUCAAAGGUUCAUUUAUGCAUGCCUGAAUACAGCAAGCAUUUCGUGAGUGUCUGAUUUGCCAACCAAAGAUGACAAAGACAUAGUUUCCAUCCCUAAGUAGGGACAGAUUGGCAUGAAACAGGAAGCAAUAAUAUGUACAGGGGAGUUAUACAAGAUUUUAUGGUAGCACGGAGAAGGGACAACUUAAAUGCUCUCUUCUAGAUUAUAGAGUGAUGACUCUAUUUGGGCAGUGUAAUUAUGUUUUGAAGAAAUUUGUGGAAGAAACUGAGAAACAAGUUUCUUUGGUCAGUUCUUGAUGUUCCUAUCCACAAUGUUUCUGUAAAAGGAAAACCUAUUAUUUUGGUGAUCUCAGAAGUCACUACAGUUUUCCCCUUGGUUCUUGACAUUGCACGGGGGUAGUUUCAGAAGAGGAAGGCCCAGCACACAGCUAAAUAUAGCACAGUGAGGCGCACAGAGUUAACUGCUAGAAACAUUCUUUUUGCAACCAUUCUUUUUAUUUUCCUCAUGAAGCAAUGAAAAAUCUCAACAACUUGAACAGUUUUCCAUCUCAACAUUAUAUUUUACAAAACAUACACAAAAAUGGAAUAGUUAAAUGAUCCACUAAGGAAGAAACGUAUAAAUAUAUAUGCACACACUUUGGGUACAGCCAUUUGAGUCUGUUGGAAGCCAGGAGGUGGCGCUGCAGGCUAAAGAGACAGAAUAGAGACUUGAACUAAGAAUGCUGCAGAAGUCACUAACAAACAAAAAGGAAGAACGCAGCAGGCAGGCUGGGAGAAAAGCCAUAGCUGCUCAAGACUGCGGAAAGAAAACACCAUUCCAGACCCCUGCCGCUACGUGGUGUAGGUCUGGGGUUUGCAACUGCUGUUUCUUGGUGCUGGGAGCUGUGAUUGUGACCGAUAUUGACAAAAGAUGCGUUCAGAAGAAGCUGUGGAGGCUGGAGGGUUGUGCUGCCCAAGACAAAGGCAAGUCCUGUUUCUCUUUCUGUUUUGGAGAGUGUCCUUGGCGGGAUCUGUGUUGGGACGAUACUCAGUGACAGAAGAAACAGAGAGAGGGUCAUUUGUGGUCAAUCUGGCAAAGGAUCUGGGGCUAGGGGAUCGGGAGCUGGUUGCAAGGGGAGCCCGGGUGGUCUUUGAUGAUAACAAACAACACUUGCUCCUGGAUUCUCAUACUGGGGAUUUGGUCACAAAUGAGAUACUGGAUCGGGAGAAGCUGUGUGGCUCCACAGAACCCUGUAUGCUGUAUUUCCAAAUUUUAAUGGAUAACCCCUUUCAGAUUUACCGGGCUGAGUUGAGGGUUGAGGACAUAAAUGAUCAUUCACCAGUGUUUCAGAACAAAGAAACAGUCUUAAAAAUAAUAGAAAAUGCAGCUGAAGGGGCAACAUUUCGACUAGAAAGAGCACAGGAUUCAGAUGGAGGACUUAAUGGCAUCCAAAACUACACCAUCAAUCCCAACUCUUUUUUUCAUAUUAAAAUUGGUGACAGUGAUGAAGGCAUGAUAUAUCCAGAGCUAGUGUUGGACAAGGCGCUGGACAGGGAGAAGCAGCAAGAACUCAGUUUAACACUCACGGCGCUGGAUGGUGGGUCUCCACCCAGAUCUGGGACUUCCACUGUCCGCAUUGUGAUCCUGGAUGUCAAUGACAAUGCCCCACAAUUUUCUCAGGCAAUCUACCAGACCCAGGCCCCAGAGAACAGCCCAGUGGGUUCCAUUAUUGCUACAGUCUCUGCAGUAGAUGUAGACUCUGGAGUCUAUGCAGACAUAGCCUAUUCGUUUUUUGAUGCUUCUGAAGAUAUUCGCUCAACCUUUCAAAUCAAUCCCUUUUCUGGGGAAAUCGUUCUCAGAGUGUUGCUUGAUUAUGAGCUAGUAAAGUCUUACAAAAUAAAUAUACAGGCAGUCGACGGUGGCGGCCUUUCUGCAAGGUGUACGGUUUUGGUUGAGGUGUUAGACACCAAUGACAAUCCCCCGGAGCUGAUCAUGUCAUCACUUUCCACCCAUGUUCCUGAGAACUCGCCUGAGAUGAUAUUGGCUGUUUUUAGAAUUAAAGACAGAGACUCUGGAGAAAACGGGAAAAUGGUUUGCUCCAUCCAAGAGAAUCUGCCAUUCCUUCUGAAACCCUCUGUGGAGAAUUUUUACAUUCUAAUGACAGAAGGAGCUCUGGACAGAGAAAGCCAAGCAGAGUACAACGUCACCAUCACCGUCACCGACUUGGGGACCCCCAGGCUGGAAACCCAGCACAACAUCACCCUGCUGGUGUCCGACGUCAACGACAACGCCCCCGCCUUCACCCAAACCGCCUACACCCUGUUCCUCCGCGAGAACAACAGCCCCGCCCUGCACAUCGGCAGCGUCAGCGCCACAGACAGCGACGCGGGCGCCAACGCCCAGCUCACCUACUCGCUGCUGCCGCCCCACGACCCGCGCCUGCCCCUGGCCUCGCUCGUGUCCAUCAACGCGGACAACGGCCACCUGUUCGCCCUGCGGGCGCUGGACUUCGAGGCGCUGCCGGCGUUCGAGUUCCGCGUGGGCGCCACGGACCGCGGGUCCCCCGCGCUGAGCAGCCAGGCGCUGGUGCGCGUGCAGGUGCUGGACGCCAACGACCACGCGCCCUUCGUGCUGUACCCGCUGCAGAACGGCUCCGCGCCCUGCACCGAGCUGGUGCCCAGGGCGGCCGAGCCGGGCUACCUGGUGAGCAAGGUGGUGGCGGUGGACGCGGACUCGGGCCAGAACGCCUGGCUGUCGUUCCAGCUGCUCAAGGCCACGGAGCCCGGGCUGUUCGGCGUGUGGGCGCACAAUGGCGAGGUGCGCACGGCGCGGCUGCUGAGCGAGCGCGACGCGGCCCGGCACCGGCUGCUGGUGCUGGUCAGGGACCAUGGCGAGCCCGCGCUGUCGGCCAGCGUCACGCUGCACGUGCUGCUGGUGGACGGCUUCUCGCAGCCCCACCUGCCGCUGCCCGAAGCGGCGGCCGACCCGGCGCCGGCCGACCCGCUGACCGUGCCCCUGGUCAUCGCGCUGGCGGCGGUGUCGUCGCUGUUCCUGUUCUCGGUGCUGGCGUUCAUCGCGGUGCGGCUGUGCAGGCGGAGCAGGGCCGCCUGGGUGGGUGGCUGCUCGGUGCCUGAGGGCCCCUUUCCGGGCCGCCUGGUGGACGUCAGCGGCACCGGGACCCUGUCCCAGAGCUACCAGUAUGAGGUGUGUCUGAUGGGAGGUACUGGGACAGAUGAGUUUAAAUUUCUGAAGCCGAUUAUUCCCAAUCUUCCAGCCCAUGACACUGGUAGAAAUGUAGAGGAAAAUGAGAACUUCAGGAAUAGCUUUGGAGUCAACAUCCAAUAAAAUUUUUAUUUUAAACAUUUAGUCUUUCAUUAUUCUUGGCAAACUGGUAAGAUUUUGCCAAUUUAUAGUGGAUUUCAGUUGUACAGUAGUUGCAUGUAUUAUUCCUGAAGCUCUUGCAUUUUGCUUUACAAAUCUUUAUUAGUUUGUGUGUUUUCUGUUUGUUUGUUUGUUUUCAUUUAUUUUUUCAAAAAUGGCAUAUUGGGCUGGCCAGGUCGCUCAGUUGGUUAUAAAGUCAUCCUGAUACAUCAAGGUUGCGAGUUCAAUUCCUUUUUAGGACUCACACAAGUAUCAACCAAUGAAUGCAUUACAUAGGUUUAAAUGAGUGAAACAACAAAAUGAUGCUUCUCUCUAAAAUCAACCAGUGGUAGAGCAUGGGCCUUUGAACCAAAGGAUAUCAGGGUUGGAUUCCUGGUCAAGGGCAGGCACCUGGGUUGCAGGUGGGAGGCAACCAAUCCAGG